rnacentral:rRNA from 1 species
AUUGAACGCUGGCGGCAUGCUUAAACCUGCCAGUCGGACCGCCGGACGGGCUUCGGCCUGGUGGCGAGUGGCGGAAGGGUGGGGAAAAUAACGGGACGGACCCAGGAAGGGGGGGUAACGGAGCGGAAGGUACGCUAAUACCGCCUACGAUCUAUGGAUGAAAGCAGGGGACCGCAAGGCCUUGUGCCCCUGGAGCGGCCGAUAUCUGAUUAGCUAGUUGGUGAGGUAAAGGCUCACCAAGGCGACGAUCAGUAGCUGGUCUGAGAGGACGACCAGCCACACUGGAACUGAGACACGGUCCAGACUCCUACGGGAGGCAGCAGUGGGGAAUUUUGGACAAUGGGCGCAAGCCUGAUCCAGCAAUGCCGCGUGAGUGAAGAAGGCCUUCGGGUUGUAAAGCUCUUUUGUCAGGGAAGAAACGGUAGAGGCUAAUAUCCUUUGCUAAUGACGGUACCUGAAGAAUAAGCACCGGCUAACUACGUG